UACGUAGGGUGCAAGCGUUAAUCGGAAUUACUGGGCGUAAAGCGUGCGCAGGCGGUGAUGCAAGACAGAUGUGAAAUCCCCGGGCUCAACCUGGGAACUGCAUUUGUGACUGCAUCGCUGGAGUACGGCAGAGGGGGAUGGAAUUCCGCGUGUAGCAGUGAAAUGCGUAGACAUGCGGAGGAACACCGAUGGCGAAGGCAAUCCCCUGGGCCUGUACUGACGCUCAUGCACGAAAGCGUGGGGAGCAAACAGG
rnacentral:rRNA from 1 species